CNUGAGUGCAAGAGGGGAGAGUGGAAUUCCAUGUGUAGCGGUGAAAUGCGUAGAUAUAUGGAGGAACACCGGUGGCGAAAGCGGCUNUCUGGCUUGUAACUGACGCUGAGGCUNGAAAGCGUGGGGAGCAAACAGGAUUAGAUACCNUGGUAGUCCACGCCGUAAACGAUGAGUGCUAGGUGUUAGACCCUUUCCGGGGUUUAGUGCCGCAGCUAACGCAUUAAGCACUCCGCCUGGGGAGUACGACCGCAAGGUUGAAACUCAAAGGAAUUGACGGGGGCCCGCACAAGCGGUGGAGCAUGUGGUUUAAUUCGAAGCAACGCGAAGAACCUUACCAGGUCUUGACAUCCCUCUGACCGCUCUAGAGAUAGAGUUUUCCUUCGGGACAGAGGUGACAGGUGGUGCAUGGUUGUCGUCAGCUCGUGUCGUGAGAUGUUGGGUUAAGUCNCGCAACGAGCGCAACCCCUAUUGUUAGUUGCCAUCAUUCAGUUGGGCACUCUAGCGAGACUGCCGGUAAUAAACCGGAGGAAGGUGGGGAUGACGUCAAAUCAUCAUGCCCCUUAUGACCUGGGCUACACACGUGCUACAAUGGCUGGUACAACGAGUCGCAAGCCGGUGACGGCAAGCUAAUCUCUUAAAGCCAGUCUCAGUUCGGAUUGUAGGCUGCAACUCGCCUACAUGAAGUCGGAAUCGCUAGUAAUCGCGGAUCAGCACGCCGCGGUGAAUACGUUCCCGGGCCUUGUNC
rnacentral:rRNA from 1 species